CUCGGAGAAGCUGGCGUCGUUCCCUAAGCAGCUGGAGGACGCGAGGGCGCCUCUCGACCGCCACCCAGGCUCACAGGACACCCAGGAACCCUCCUCAGCUGCUUCGUUGUCCUCGUCACCCGUCCCGCUGCAGGUGGUGGACAUCAACGCCACGUCCUUGGUGACCCCGCGCCUCACCCACGCCCAUCGCUGCCACGCCCUCGAGUACGACACUUGCACGCCCGCGACCUGUCUCAAUGGUGGGCGUUGCGUCGGAGCCCAUGGGGAGAGCAGGUGCGUGUGCCCCGGGGGUUCCGACGGCCCCCAGUGCAAGGUCCUCUCCCGCUCCUUCUCGGGGGCAGGCUGGGUGUGGGUCAAAGCCCUCCCCCCGUGUCUCCCCACCACCAUAUCCUUCCGCCUCCUC